GAUGAACGCUAGCGGCAGGCCUAACACAUGCAAGUCGAGGGAGGAGCUUUCGGGCUUCGACCGGCGUACGGGUGCGUAACGCGUAUACAAUCUGCCUUUCACAUAGGGAUAGCCCGAAGAAAUUUGGAUUAAUACCUAAUGGUAUAUAGAGGUGGCAUCACCUUUAUAUUAAAGCUGAGGCGGUGAAAGAUGAGUAUGCGUUCUAUUAGCUAGUUGGAGAGGUAACGGCUCCCCAAGGCGACGAUAGAUAGGGGUUCUGAGAGGGAUAUCCCCCACACUGGUACUGAGAUACGGACCAGACUCCUACGGGAGGCAGCAGUGAGGAAUAUUGGACAAUGGUCGGAAGACUGAUCCAGCCAUGCCGCGUGCAGGAAGACGGCCUUAUGGGUUGUAAACUGCUUUUGCGGGGGAAGAAUAAGGACUACGCGUAGUUUGAUGACGGUACUCUGCGAAUAAGCAUCGGCUAACUCCGUG
rnacentral:rRNA from 1 species